rnacentral:rRNA from 1 species
GAUGAACGCUGGCGGCGUGCUUAACACAUGCAAGUCGAACGGAAAGGCUCCUGCUUGCAGGGGUACUCGAGUGGCGAACGGGUGUGUAACACGUGGGUUAUCUGCCCUGCACUUCGGUAUAAGCCUGGGAAACUGGGUCUAAUACCGGAUAGGACGAUGGUUUGGAUGCGAUUGUGGAGAGUUUUUCGGUGUGGGAUGAGCUCGCGGCCUAUCGGCUUGUUGGUGGGGUAAUGGCCUACCAAGGCGUCGACGGGUAGCCGGCCUGGGAGGGUGUACGGCCACAUUGGGACUGAGAUACGGCCCAGACUCCUACGGGAGGCAGCAGUGGGGAAUAUUGCACAAUGGGCGCAAGCCUGAUGCAGCGACGCCGCGUGGGGGAUGACGGCCUUCGGGUUGUAACCUCCUUUCGCUAGGGACGAAGCGCAAGUGACGGUACCUGGAGAAGAAGCACCGGCUAACUACGUG